GUGGAUUAGAUACCCUGGUAGUCCACACCCUAAACGAUGAAUACUAGAUGUUGGUCUUUUUUAAGGUCAGUAUCCAAGCUAACGCAUUAAGUAUUCCACCUGGGAAGUACAAUCGCAAGGUUGAAACUCAAAGGAAUUGACGGGGGCCCGCACAAGCAGUGGAGCAUGUGGUUUAAUUCGACGCAACGCGAAGAACCUUACCUAGGCUUGAAACGCAAGUUAAUCCUGAUGAAAGUCAGGGUUCCGCAAGGAGAACUUGUACAGGUGCUGCAUGGCUGUCAUCAGCU
rnacentral:rRNA from 1 species